GCAUUAUCAAUAAGCGGAGGAAAAGAAACCAACAGGGAUUACCUCAGUAACGGCGAGUGAAGCGGUAACAGCUCAAAUUUGAAAUCUGGGUCUUUCAGGCUCCGAGUUGUAAUUUGUAGAAGAUGCUUCGGGUGCGGCUCCGGUCUAAGUUCCUUGGAACAGGACGUCAUAGAGGGUGAGAAUCCCGUAUGUGAUCGGCCGCUUGCGCCCAUGUGAAGCUCUUUCGACGAGUCGAGUUGUUUGGGAAUGCAGCUCCAAAUGGGUGGUAUAUUUCAUCUAAAGCUAAAUAUUGGCCAGAGACCGAUAGCGCACAAGUAGAGUGAUCGAAAGAUGAAAAGCACUUUGGAAAGAGAGUUAAACAGUACGUGAAAUUGUUGAAAGGGAAGCGCUUGCAACCAGACUUGCGUGUUGUUGAUCAUCCGGGGUUCUCCCCGGUGCACUCGACCUCACUCAGGCCAGCAUCGGUUUCGGUGGUUGGAUAAAGGCCUUGGGAAUGUAGCUCCUCUCGGGGAGUGUUAUAGCCCUCGGUGCAAUGCAGCCUACCGGGACCGAGGACCGCGCUUCGGCUAGGAUGCUGGCGUAAUGGUUGUAAGCGACCCGUCUUGAAACACGGACCAAGGAGUCUAACAUCUAUGCGAGUGUUUGGGUGUCAAACCCAUACGCGUAAUGAAAGUGAACGGAGGUGAGAACCCUUAAGGGUGCAUCAUCGACCGAUCCUGAUGUCUUCGGAUGGAUUUGAGUAAGAGCAUAGCUGUUGGGACCCGAAAGAUGGUGAACUAUGCCUGAAUAGGGUGAAGCCAGAGGAAACUCUGGUGGAGGCUCGCAGCGGUUCUGACGUGCAAAUCGAUCGUCAAAUUUGGGGUAUAGGGGGCGAAAGACUAAUCGAACCAUCUAGGUAGGCUGGCUCCGUGACCAGAAG
rnacentral:rRNA from 1 species